rnacentral:rRNA from 1 species
CCAAUAGCGUAUAUUAAAGUUGUUGCAGUUAAAAAGCUCGUAGUUGAAUUUUAGGUCUGGCCGGGUGGUCCGCCUCCGGGUGAGUACUGUCCGUUGUCGGGUCUAUCCUUCUGGUGAGUCGGUAUGUCCUUUAUUGGAUGCGCUGGGGAACCAGGACCAUUACCUUGAAAAAAUUAGAGUGUUCAAAGCAGGCAUUUGCUCGAAUAUAUUAGCAUGGAAUAAUAAAAUAGGACGCGUGAUUCUAUUUUGUUGGUUUCUAGAACCGCCGUAAUGAUUAAUAGGGACAGUCGGGGACAUUAGUAUUCAAUUGUCAGAGGUGAAAUUCUUAGAUUUAUUGAAGACUAACUUCUGCGAAAGCAUUUGCCAAGGAUGUUUUCAUUAAUCAAGAACGAAAGUUAGGGGAUCGAAGACGAUCAGAUACCGUCGUAGUCUUAACCAUAAACUAUGCCGACUAGGAAUCGGGCGAUGUUAUUUUCACGACUCGCCCGGCGCCUUAUG